AGCGGCCCGCUCCGCCCGGCCCGCGUCCUCCCCGGUGCCCGGCCCCGCUGCCGGCCCUUACCUUGCAGCGGCCGGCUCUCCCCCGCCGCUAACGCUACUUAUCCCGGGAAAGCUCGAGCGGGCCCCGGGAGCGAACCCACAGACAAAAAGUGAAACUUCAGCAGCAGGCCGGGAGUGGCUGCUGACGACAGAUUGGAAAGCUGAGCUUGAGCAAAGAGAUCCUGCCAUGGAACACCCCACCCCCCACCCUAAGAGCCUCGUCGGAGCCCCGCCCAGGACUCCAGCAGGACUCAGAAGUCCGGGAUGGUAGAGAGCAACUUCAGUUCCCUUCGCACAGGAGAGCUCCGAAGCUGGGACCUGACCCAGUCCUGCCCCGUGGAGAGGAGCCAGUAUUCUACUCUUAGCUGGGUUUCCGCCUCCAGGCACGACCCGGCCUCUAACUGUGAGCUUAGACCCAAGUUAGAGCUAGGCAGAUGACUUGACCCACUGAAGUGACUAACCCCAGUUCCUGGAAGGUUGUGGUUGACAAGCCUUGAGAAACAAUGGCAAUCGAGUGCUUCAGGGCAACUUCCUGUCCUUUGUUCAAAGACAAGAACCUUUGGAGUUUAACUUUUGCUUCCCAACCCUGCCCUGCCGGAAAACCAACCAGAAAGCUUGCUCUGUUCUUACAGCUUAAAAAAAGAAAAUACACGAACUGGGUGAACUGGUUUGAAUAAAGACAAGCCUGUUCUUGGAA
rnacentral:lncRNA from 1 species